rnacentral:rRNA from 1 species
GUGUCAGCAGCCGCGGUAACACGUAGGGCGCAAGCGUUGUUCGGAAUCACUGGGCGUAAAGGGCGUGUAGGCGGUCAGGUAAGUGGGACGUGAAAUGCCUAGGCUCACCCGAGGAGCGGCGUCCCAUACUGCUUGGCUUGAGUACGGGAGAGGAUGCGGAAUUCCAGGUGUAGCGGUGAAAUGCGUAGAUAUCUGGAGGAGCACCGGUGGCGAAGGCGGCAUCCUGGACCAAUUCUGACACUGAGGAGCGAAAGCCAGGGGAGCAAACGGGAUUAGAAACCCCUGUAGUCC